rnacentral:rRNA from 1 species
GAUGAACGCUAGCGGCGUGCCUAAUACAUGCAAGUCGAGCGAACAGACGAGGAGCUUGCUCCUCUGACGUUAGCGGCGGACGGGUGAGUAACACGUGGAUAACCUACCUAUAAGACUGGGAUAACUUCGAGAAACCGGAGCUAAUACCGGAUAAUAUAUUGAACCGCAUGGUUCAAUAGUGAAAGACGGUUUUGCUGUCACUUAUAGAUGGAUCCGCGCCGCAUUAGCUAGUUGGUAAGGUAACGGCUUACCAAGGCAACGAUGCGUAGCCGACCUGAGAGGGUGAUCGGCCACACUGGAACUGAGACACGGUCCAGACUCCUACGGGAGGCAGCAGUAGGGAAUCUUCCGCAAUGGGCGAAAGCUUGACGGAGCAACGCCGCGUGAGUGAUGAAGGUCUUCGGAUCGUAAAACUCUGUUAUUAGGGAAGAACAAAUGUGUAAGUAACUAUGCACGUCUUGACGGUACCUAAUCAGAAAGCCACGGCUAACUACGUG